rnacentral:rRNA from 1 species
GUGGGGAAUUUUGCGCAAUGGGGGAAACCCUGACGCAGCAACGCCGCGUGAGUGAUGAAGGCCUUCGGGUCGUAAAGCUCUGUCAGAGGGGAAGAAGUGUGGGGUGGCUAAUAUCCAUUUCACUUGACGGUACCUUCAAAGGAAGCACCGGCUAACUCCGUGCCAGCAGCCGCGGUAAUACGGAGGGUGCGAGCGUUGUUCGGAAUUAUUGGGCGUAAAGCGCGUGUAGGCGGUUUUUUAAGUCUGAUGUGAAAGCCCUGGGCGAAACCCGGGAAGUGCAUUGGAAACUGGGAGACUUGAAUACGGGAGAGGGCAGUGGAAUUCCUGGUGUAGGAGUGAAAUCCGUAGAUAUCAGGAGGAACACCGGUGGCGAAGGCGGCUGCCUGGACCGAUAUUGACGCUGAGACGCGAAAGCGUGGGGAGCAAACAGGAUUAGAUACCCCAGUAGUCC